CGUGGCAGAUAGCAUUGCCGCUUUUCAAAGUUAUAUGAAACUAGAGUGCCAUCCCUGUAUCAUUGGAAUCUGGAGCGUACUGGACAAUACAGGGAGACAGUCGCAGCGGGGCUUUAUUAAGCUUAUUAACGGAACAUACAAGGGUGGACAUAUCUACCUCGCAGUGGUUGGGGAAAAUAUAACCGCCGAGAGGGACGUGAGGAUGGAAGUUUUACUGUCUCUGCCAGUUAUCUUUCAAACGACACGGUGGAAUAAAGUGAAAGAGAAGCGUUCUCGAGAACAACCUUAAUUAAGCAGUGAUAUUUCACGGCAACCUGUUUAAGAAAUUUGAGUUGUUCCUCCUCGUAGAUACAUUUAUUGAGACAAAACAAUUUUGCUGAAA